CAGAGAGUGGUGUCACCACAGCCUCUCUUCUGGGUGUGGAGCAAAGACCUUGGCAAUGAAAGAAGCUGGGUUGAAGACCUAUAUCCGGCUGAUAUCAGAUCUAGGCUGUCCUAUCAAAACCCUUCCAGAAGAACUGAAGAUAGCACUUUCUGAAUGGUUCCAGAUGCACAACUCAGAGGAGCACGAAAAUGCAGUCCCCCACUACCACAAAGUAUGCAGUUGAGCUUCCCACAUUUGGGGAAAUCGUAGAGGUCAGCACAUCCAGAGUGCAAUGGAGGAGCCUCACCCUGGAAAACCACCUUCGUGAUCAUGGUAUCUCCCCUGCCAGAUCACAGACUCCACGUUGUUCCUACGCUAGAGACCAAGGAUGAAGGCAUGGGAACCGACACGAAGAAGCUUCCAGACUUCCCACCUGUCCACUCCAGUUUGAAACGGGAAAACCAGAAAACCAAGUUUCCUCUCUGGAGGGCUGGCGAUGCCUUAUCUUCAGAAAGACAGCAUUUGCUUUUUGGCCCCUUCUUGUGCCCAAGGUUGAACUGAUCUCUUGGUUCAGAUACAUCCUUUCAUGUCCAACUUCAUCC
ensembl:lncRNA